CCCGACUGCUAUCAGAGUGGGACUAAGCCAUGCGAGUCAACAUAGCAAUAUGUGGCAUACGGCUCAGUAACACGUAGUCAACAUGCCCAGGGGACGUGGAUAACCUCGGGAAACUGAGGAUAAACCGCGAUAGGUCAUCACUUCUGGAAUGGGUAAUGACUUAAACCUAUAUGGCCCCUGGAUUGGACUGCGGCCGAUCAGGCUGUUGGUGAGGUAAUGGCCCACCAAACCUGUAACCGGUACGGGCUCUGAGAGGAGGAGCCCGGAGAUGGGCACUGAGACAAGGGCCCAGGCCCUAUGGGGCGCAGCAGGCGCGAAACCUCUGCAAUAGGCGAAAGCUUGACAGGGUUACUCUGAGUGAUUUCCGUUAAGGAGAUCUUUUGGCACCUCUAAAAAUGGUGCAGAAUAAGGGGUGGGCAAGUCUGGUGU
rnacentral:rRNA from 1 species